AUGGAGCCGACCUUGAAAUACCACCCUUUAAUGUUUGAUGUUCUAACGUUGACCCGUGAUCCGGGUUGCGGACAGUGUCUGGUGGGUAGUUUGACUGGGGCGGUCUCCUCCUAAAGAGUAACGGAGGAGCACGAAGGUUGGCUAAUCCUGGUCGGACAUCAGGAGGUUAGUGCAAUGGCAUAAGCCAGCUUGACUGCGAGCGUGACGGCGCGAGCAGGUGCGAAAGCAGGUCAUAGUGAUCCGGUGGUUCUGAAUGGAAGGGCCAUCGCUCAACGGAUAAAAGGUACUCCGGGGAUAACAGGCUGAUACCGCCCAAGAGUUCAUAUCGACGGCGGUGUUUGGCACCUCGAUGUCGGCUCAUCACAUCCUGGGGCUGAAGUAGGUCCCAAGGGUAUGGCUGUUCGCCAUUUAAAGUGGUACGCGAGCUGGGUUUAGAACGUCGUGAGACAGUUC
rnacentral:rRNA from 1 species